UACGUAGGGGGCAAGCGUUGUCCGGAAUCAUUGGGCGUAAAGCGCGUGUAGGCGGCUUGGUAAGUCUGCUCUGAAAGCCCGGGGCUCAACCCCGGGAGGCGGGUGGAUACUGUCAAGCUCGAGUCCGGAAGAGGAGUGUGGAAUUCCCGGUGUAGUGGUGGAAUGCGUAGAGAUCGGGAGGAACACCAGUGGCGAAAGCGGCUCUCUGGUCCAAAACUGACGCUGAGGGGCGAAAGCGUGGGGAGCGAACGGG
rnacentral:rRNA from 1 species